rnacentral:rRNA from 1 species
AGUGAACGCUGGCGGUAGGCCUAACACAUGCAAGUCGAACGGCAGCACAGUAAGAGCUUGCUCUUACGGGUGGCGAGUGGCGGACGGGUGAGGAAUACAUCGGAAUCUACUUUUUCGUGGGGGAUAACGUAGGGAAACUUACGCUAAUACCGCAUACGACCUACGGGUGAAAGCAGGGGAUCUUCGGACCUUGCGCGAUUGAAUGAGCCGAUGUCGGAUUAGCUAGUUGGCGGGGUAAAGGCCCACCAAGGCGACGAUCCGUAGCUGGUCUGAGAGGAUGAUCAGCAACAUUGGACCUGAGACACGGUCCAGCCUCCUACGGGAGGCAGCAGUGGGGAAUAUUGGACAAUGGGCGCAAGCCUGAUCCAGCCAUACCGCGUGGGUGAAGAAGGCCUUCGGGUUGUAAAGCCCUUUUGUUGGGAAAGAAAAGCAGCAGGUUAAUACCCCGCUGUUCUGACGGUACCCAAAGAAUAAGCACCGGCUAACUUCGUG